rnacentral:lncRNA from 1 species
CUCCCAUUGGUGAGAUUCAAGACAGUAAAUACAUCAGUCAAAGUCAAAAGAGAGGUCAUCCAAAUUCCAUGCUACCCAAGAAAGAAGGCUUUUCUUUACUUCUUAACAAUCAAAUUCUGAUGAAGCCUAAGUACAGUCAAAACUCUCAGUGAAGAGAAGUGCAAAAGACAGUGUGUGAUAAGGAAUAUGAUCGGAAAGACUAAAGCUUCUAUGAGAGGCUCCAUGGCAGACCCCCUCAAAAAAAGAUCCUGCAAGACACUGAGGCUCCAUCUGCUGUCAGCACUACCUGAGAAAGAAUUGAGGCAGCUGAAACCACGGCCCCCCAAAUGGUCUGCUGACCUUCCUGAGAGUGACUUCUCUGGGCCGGAUUCUUGACCUCACUGUCUCUCACGUCCUAUGGCUGCCCCAUGCCAACCAAGAUUUUAAAGGUGACCCCUUUUACUUGAUUUCUGCCAAAACACCACACAGAAACAGUAUUCAUGUGGAACAGACUCUUUCCGUCCUUAAAAGUCUAUCAUCAGAUCCAACGCGUGCCACCAUCUUGCUUUCUGCCUUAUUUAGUCUCUCACCUCUGCUCUCCCAUAUUCACAAUCCCUGUAAACUUUCACACAGCAACUUGCUCUCUCCUCCUGUAGCUCCAGACUGUUGAGGUUAUCUCUGGAGGUCUUAUCUUCUCAGCCAAAUGCUUCCAUUAAGGUGGUAGACAGUCUCCUCCCUGAAAGGAAUUCCUGGCUAGCUCUUAAAAUAACGGCAUUUUCCUCUGGGCUGCUCACGUAUUACGAGAAAGCUCUGACUCAUUCCUGCAAACACUCAGGAAAAGAAAUAGAAAGGACAAUUUGUGAUAAGUACCAUAGGAAAACAUGGAAGGUCUAUAACAGAUAGGAAUGCUGAGUCAGAAUUUGGGGGCACUAUAACUUGGGGGCAGAACUUAGAGGAGAUUCCACUUUCAAAUUCACUCUAGAAAGGAUCAAUGAAAGGAUUGAGUCAUAGACAUCCAGAGAGUCACAUGGAGCUAGAGAUGAA